rnacentral:rRNA from 1 species
UACGUAGGGGGCAAGCGUUGUCCGGAUUUAUUGGGCGUAAAGAGCUCGUAGGCGGUUCGGUAAGUCGAAUGUGAAAUCUCCACGCUCAACGUGGAGGGGUCAUUCGAAACUGCCGUGACUUGAGUACGGUAGGGGAGUGUGGAAUUCCCGGUGUAGCGGUGAAAUGCGCAGAGAUCGGGAGGAACACCCGUAGCGAAGGCGGCUCACUGGCCCGGUACUGACGCUGAGGUGCGAAAGCGUGGGGAGCAAACAGG